AACCCAUGAUGUGGACACCUCCUUAGUAAUUCUUUGUAUCUCUCCCAAGCCUCAUACAAUGAUUCCGACUCUUCUUGUAGAAACGAUUGUAAUAUCAUUUUUCAGCUU